rnacentral:rRNA from 1 species
AGCGAACGCUGGCGGCAGGCCUAACACAUGCAAGUCGAACGAACUCUUCGGAGUUAGUGGCGGACGGGUGAGUAACACGUGGGAACGUGCCCUUUGGUACGGAAUAACUCAGGGAAACUUGAGCUAAUACCGUAUGUGCCCUUCGGGGGAAAGAUUUAUCGCCAUUGGAGCGGCCCGCGUCUGAUUAGCUAGUUGGUGAGGUAACGGCUCACCAAGGCGACGAUCAGUAGCUGGUCUGAGAGGAUGACCAGCCACAUUGGGACUGAGACACGGCCCAAACUCCUACGGGAGGCAGCAGUGGGGAAUCUUGCGCAAUGGGCGAAAGCCUGACGCAGCCAUGCCGCGUGGAUGAUGAAGGUCUUAGGAUUGUAAAAUCCUUUCACCGGUGAAGAUAAUGACUGUAGCCGGAGAAGAAGCCCCGGCUAACUUCGUGCCAGCAGCCGCAGUAAAAC